GAUGAACGCUGGCGGCGUGCCUAAUACAUGCAAGUCGAGCGAACGGACGAGAAGCUUGCUUCUCUGAUGUUAGCGGCGGACGGGUGAGUAACACGUGGAUAACCUACCUAUAAGACUGGGAUAACUUCGGGAAACCGGAGCUAAUACCGGAUAAUAUUUUGAACCGCAUGGUUCAAAAGUGAAAGACGGUCUUGCUGUCACUUAUAGAUGGAUCCGCGCUGCAUUAGCUAGUUGGUAAGGUAACGGCUUACCAAGGCAACGAUGCAUAGCCGACCUGAGAGGGUGAUCGGCCACACUGGAACUGAGACAGGGUCCAGACUCCUACGGGAGGCAGCAGUAGGGAAUCGUCCGCAAUGGGCGAAAGCCUGACGGAGCAACGCCGCGUGAGUGAUGAAGGUCUUCGGAUCGUAAAACUCUGUUAUUAGGGAAGAACAUAUGUGUAAGUAACUGUGCACAUCUUGACGGUACCUAAUCAGAAAGCCACGGCUAACUACGUG
rnacentral:rRNA from 1 species